rnacentral:rRNA from 1 species
GGGGGAAAAAUUAAUAUAAAAUUAUAAAUAAAAAAAAAAUUUUUAAUAAAAAUAUUAGGGGGUUAAAGUAUUUUUAAAGAAAAAAUUAAUAAAUUUAUAGUUAAAUAGUAUUGUAAAAGAAUUUUGAAAUAAUAGAAAAUUAAUUUUUUUAAAAGUAAAUUUUAUUUAUUGUAUCUUGUGUAUCAGAGUUUAUUAAUAAAAUAUUAUAAGUAAAAUUUUCUCGAAUUUUAAAGAGUUAAUUAAUUAAUAAAGUUAAUGUGGAAUAAUUAUUUUAAAUAAUUAAUUGGAAAUGAAAUGUUAAUCGUUUUAAAAUAUAUCUAGUUUUUUUAGAAAUAAAUUUAAUUUAAAGUAUUAAUUAUUAAUUUUUUUUUAAAAAAAAAUUAAUACAAAUUAACAUUUAAUAUUUUAAGGGAUAAGCUUUAAAAUAACAUUUUAUAAUAAUUAUUUAAAAAAUAUUAAAAUUUUAGAAUUUAAAUUGUUAAAAAAUUAUAAUUUUUUAUAAAAAAUUUAAUAUAAAAUAAAAUUUAAAAUAAAAUUUAAUUUUAUAUGAAAAAAUAAUUUUUAAUAAAUAAAAAUUAGUUAUAAUGAUAAAAUUAGUAUAUUUAUUUAUGAAAAUAUUUUUAAUAAUUAUAAAAAUAAAAAAAGUUAUAAUAAGGAAUUCGGCAAAAUUUUAUAUUCACUUGUUUAUCAAAAACAUGUCUUUUUGAAAAUAAUAUAAAGUCUAAUCUGCCCACUGAUUAAUUAUUAAAGGGCUGCAGUAUAUUGACUGUACAAAGGUAGCAUAAUCAUUUGUCUCUUAAUUGGUGACUUGUAUGAAAGAUUGAAUGAAAUAUAAACUGUCUCAUUAUAAUUUAUAAAAUUUAAUUUUUUAGUAAAAAAGCUAAAAUUUAUUUAAAAGACGAGAAGACCCUAUAGAGUUUUAUAUUUUUUUUAAAAAUAAUAAAAUAUAAAUUUUUAAAUUAUAUUUAAUUAAAUUAUUUUGUUGGGGUGACAAAAAAAUUUAAUUAACUUUUUUUAAAAAUUUGACAUUAAUUUAUGAAAAAAUGAUCCAUUAAUAAUGAUUAUAAGAAAAAAUUACCUUAGGGAUAACAGCGUAAUUUUUUUUUUUAGGUCAAAUAAGAAAAAAAGUUUGCAGACCUCGAUGUUGGAUUAAGAUAAAAUUUAAAUGCAAAAGUUUAAAAUUUUGAUCUGUUCGAUCAUUAAAAUCUUACAUGAUCUGAGUUCAAACCGGUGUAAGCCAGGUUGGUUUCUAUCUUUAAGAAAAUAAAAUAUUUUA